rnacentral:rRNA from 1 species
UACAGAGGGUGCGAGCGUUAAUCGGAAUUACUGGGCGUAAAGCGUGCGUAGACGGUUUCGUAAGUCGGGUGUGAAAGCCCCGGGCUCAACCUGGGAAUUGCAUUCGAGACUGCGUAGCUAGGGCGCGGAAGAGGGAAGCGGAAUUUCCGGUGUAGCGGUGAAAUGCGUAGAUAUCGGAAGGAACAUCAGUGGCGAAAGCGGCUUCCUGGUCCAGCACCGACGUUCAGGCACGAAAGCGUGGGGAGCAAACAGG